GACAGAGGGUGCAAACGUUGCUCGGAAUUACUGGGCGUAAAGCGUGCGUAGGUGGUUCGUUAAGUCCGUUGUGAAAGCCCCGAGCUCAACUUGGGAAUUGCAGUGGAUACUGGCGAGCUGGAGUGCGGUAGAGGAAGGUGGAAUCCCCGGUGUAGCGGUGAAAUGCGUAGAGAUCGGGAGGAACACCAGUGGCGAAGGCGGCCUUCUGGACCAGCACUGACACUCAAGCACGAAAGCGUGGGGAGCAAACAGG
rnacentral:rRNA from 1 species